UACAAGCAAGGAUGUAUGUUAGGUAGAUUGAUUCGGUAAUUAUAAUUUGUAACGGACUACAAGGCAAAUAAGAAUUACAAGCAACGGCAAUGUCAUGACGAGGGUUUACAACUAUUCACUCAUGUGACAGUGUAUAUAAAUCCAAUGACUUGGCUCAAUUUCAGUCACUGCGCGUUCUUUAGACAACAUGAAGUUCGCUAUUAUAUUGAUUUUAUUCGGAUUGAUUGGUGGGAUUAUAUGUGAAUUGCGCUCGAAACGGCUGCGUCAUCAUCAUAAAAAAUUGUCUGGUUGGGACGAGAAAUAUCUCUUUUGUUUUAGGAAAUGUUACAAAACUAUAAAUACUAUAAUGUUCAGAUUACCUAUCUGUGCCAGUGAUGGUCGCACUUAUUUCAACGACUGUCAUUUGUCAUGCGUUCGCAACGGUAAUAUCGGUCUUUAUAAGGUACACGACGGACCAUGUUAGGUAGAACCAUGGUAGAACAACGUUUCUGUGUGUGUGUCUAAUAAACAUCUACAAUUGGA